GGGUUGUCUUUUAGUGCUGACUAUUUUAAUACAGUUAUAUUUUACUUUAUACAUGCACUAUUUUCCUUAAUCUAUUAUUUAAUUUUUAAUACAGAGGACUUACUUAUUGUAUCAUUUCAUUUAUAUUACAGAGAGCUUAUCAGGUGGGGAAGCCCCAGGCCAUUUUACCACAAUAAGAACCUCUUCUUCUAAAAUAGAAAAGCAGAACAAGCACAUACAGUCAUGUUUUUACCCAGUAGUAAAAGUGAUCACACGCACCACACCCAAAGAAGAGCAGGGACCUGGGCAGAGACCUCUAAAAGCACAGCCUGCAGAUCAUAACACCCAAGGAUCAGAAGACGGAUGGGACAGAACAGAAGGGUACAAUUCCUUGGAGGAAAACAAGCCACAUACCUCUGAGAAACUCACAUGUAAAAAGACUAGGAUUCACACCCCCAAAACAGG